rnacentral:lncRNA from 1 species
ACCCGCCUAUUCGGACCGAGGUCGCGGCGCCGCCGACAGUGCCGAACGGACAGGGUUUCCCCUGUACGUUCAAGGCAACGCAAUCAAUACAAUACGAAGGUUCCAACCAGGAACGGAUACCAAUCCAGAUUGCAUAAGGAAGUAUCAAAUACAUAAUUACUAGCUAUUACAAGCAUUCACUCGCAUUCAUUUUUACAUCACAGUUUCUGUUUACAUACUACUUCCAAAUUACAAUCUAAUUAUUACAUAACUUUACAUGUUUAGUACAUUUUGCUUUUCCUUGUCUUUU